ensembl:snoRNA
UCAUUCUUGUCUGAGUCUUUUAUUUAGGCCAGUUUCUACUGCUAUCCCUCCAAGUUCAUUAAUAUUUUCUUCUGAUUGUAAAGACUGGGGGACCUCUUUCUUAAUGUCCAGUGACCUUAGUCUUAAUAUUUGGUGCAGUAUAU